ACACCAGGUCUUUCAUCGCCGCAUGUACCACCUGUGCGCGCAACAAGACAACCAACAAACCCCGGUCGGGACUGCUUCGCCCGCUCCCCAUCCCCAGUCGUCCGUGGUCCAACAUCGCCCUGGAUUUCGUUACCGGUCUCCCUCCAUCCAGAGACCAACGGCCAGGCGGAGCGGGCAAACCAGGAACUGGAGGGCAUGCUACGCUGCGUCACAGCCGCCAAUCCCGCUUCAUGGAGCCUUCAUCUUCCUUGGGUUGAGUACGCACACAACACGCACAGAAAUGACACUACCGGAAUGUCUCCCUUUCUCUGCUCCCUGGGCUACCAGCCCCCGCUGUUUCCCUCGCAGGAGGCAGAGAUUGCUGUUCCUUCAGUUCGGUCCCACAUCCUACGCUGCCAACGAACAUGGAACAAAGCUCGGGCUGCGCUGCUUCGGGCUUCCACC
ensembl:lncRNA